rnacentral:rRNA from 1 species
GAUAGGUUCGAGGUGGAAGCGUGGCGACACGUGCAGCUGACGAAUACUAAUCGAUCGAGGACUUAACCAAU